GACGAACGCUAGCUACAGGCUUAACACAUGCAAGUCGAGGGGAAACGACAUCGAAAGCUUGCUUUUGCUGGGCGUCGACGGGCGCACGGGUGAGUAACGCGUAUCCAUCCUGCCCAUCACUUGGGAAUAACCUUGCGAAAGUAAGACUAAUACACAAUGACAUCCCACGAAGACAUCUGAAUGGGUUUAAAGAUUUAUCGGUGAUGGAUGGGGAUGCGUCUGAUUAGCUUGUUGGCGGGGUAACGGCCCACCAAGGCAACGAUCAGUAGGGGUUCUGGGAGGAAGGUCGCCCGCAUUGGAACAGGGGCACGGUCCAAGGGCCUACGGGGGGGAGCAGUGAGGAAUAGGAGGCAAUGGGCGAGAGCCUGAACCAGCCAAGUCGCGUGCAGUAUGACCGCCCUAUGGGUUGUAAACUGCUUUUAUAAGGGAAAAGAGUGGGUCUCGGGAGACUUUUUGCCUGUACCUGAUGAAUAAGGACCGGCUAAUUCCGUG
rnacentral:rRNA from 1 species